GACGAACGCUGGCGGCGUGCCUAAUACAUGCAAGUCGAGCGAAGUUUUUCUGGUGCUUGCACUAGAAAAACUUAGCGGCGAACGGGUGAGUAACACGUAAAGAACCUGCCUCAUAGACUGGGACAACUAUUGGAAACGAUAGCUAAUACCGGAUAACAGUAUUUCUCGCAUGAGAGAUAUUUAAAAGUUGGUUAUGCUAACACUAUGAGAUGGCUUUGCGGUGCAUUAGCUAGUUGGUGGGGUAAAGGCCCACCAAGGCGACGAUGCAUAGCCGACCUGAGAGGGUGAUCGGCCACACUGGGACUGAGACACGGACCAGACUCCUACGGGAGGCAGCAGUAGGGAAUCUUCCGCAAUGGGCGAAAGCCUGACGGAGCAACGCCGCGUGAGUGAAGAAGGAUUUCGGUUCGUAAAGCUCUGUUGUUAGGGAAGAAUGGAUAUGUAGUAACUAUACAUGUAAGAGACGGUACCUAACCAGAAAGCCACGGCUAACUACGUG
rnacentral:rRNA from 1 species